UACAGGGGGGGCAAGCGUUGUUCGGAAUUACUGGGCGUAAAGGGCUCGUAGGUGGCCAACUAAGUCGGACGUGAAAUCCCUCAGCUUAACUGGGGAACUGCGUCUGAUACUGGAUGGCUUGAGUUUGGGAGAGGGAUGCGGAAUUCCAGGUGUAGCGGUGAAAUGCGUAGAUAUCUGGAGGAACACCGGUGGCGAAGGCGGCAUCCUGGACCAACACUGACACUGAGGAGCGAAAGCCAGGGGAGCAAACGGG
rnacentral:rRNA from 1 species